UACGGAGGAUGCAAGCGUUAUUCGGAAUUACUGGGCGUAAAGCGCACGUAGGCGGAUCAGAAAGUCAGAGGUGAAAUCCCAGGGCUCAACCUUGGAACUGCCUUUGAAACUCCUGGUCUUGAGGUCGUGAGAGGUGAGUGGAAUUCCGAGUGUAGAGGUGAAAUUCGUAGAUAUUCGGAGGAACACCAGUGGCGAAGGCGGCUCACUGGCACGAUACUGACGCUGAGGUGCGAAAGCGUGGGGAGCAAACAGG
rnacentral:rRNA from 1 species